UACAGAGGGUGCAAGCGUUGUUCGGAAUUAUUGGGCGUAAAGCGCGUGUAGGCGGCUUUGCAAGUCGGGGUGUGAAAAGCCCCUCAGCUUAACUGAGGAAGUGCGCCCGAAACUGCUUUGGCUUGAGUACCGGAGAGGAUGGCGGAAUUCCCCCAAGUAGAGGUGAAAAUUCGUAGAUAUGGGGGAGGAACACCGGUGGCGAAGGCGGCCUUCUGGACAGUGACUGACGCUGAGACGCGAAAAGCGUGGGGGAGCAAACAGG
rnacentral:rRNA from 1 species